AUGUGGGAGGUGAAGUACAAACAAGCAAAAUACUUGUGGGAAUCAUACACAUCAGGCAGGAAGCAGGUUUAUUUCAUCAUAUUACACCAGUAUCCAGUGAGGCUGACAUGUUGGAUAGGCCCCAGCCACAAGCUUCAGCAGUUGAGCUCACAUAACAUAUUUAUUUACAUCUUUUCAGGCGGCCGGCUUGAAGUCCUGGAGCUGCUUGAAGUUCUCCCAGGCCUUCUCCCACACCUUGGCCUCGUAGAGCUUCUUGGCGCCGCCCUCCUUGACCUCGAUGGUGAAGUAGUGCAUGCACCCGGCCACCACCUGCUGCCUCACCUUCACCAGCCUCUCGAACUCCAGCAGCGCGUUCUGCGCCCAGCAAAAUUCACCACCGAUCCAGCAGGUUAA
rnacentral:rRNA from 1 species